UACGGGGGGAGCAAGCGUUGUUCGGAUUUACUGGGCGUAAAGGGCGCGUAGGCGGUCGUGACAAGUCACUUGUGAAAUCUCCGGGCUUAACUCGGAACGGUCAACUGAUACUGUGCGGCUAGAGUGCGGAAGGGGCAACUGGAAUUCUUGGUGUAGCGGUGAAAUGCGUAGAUAUCAAGAGGAACACCUGCGGCGAAGGCGGGUUGCUGGGCCGACACUGACGCUGAGGCGCGAAAGCCAGGGGAGCGAACGGGG
rnacentral:rRNA from 1 species